rnacentral:rRNA from 1 species
AGAACGAACGCUGGCGGCGUGCUUAACACAUGCAAGUCGAGCGGAAAGGCCCGUUCGGGGUACUCGAGCGGCGAACGGGUGAGUAACACGUGAGCAAUCUGCCCUUAGCUUCGGGAUAGCUCCGGGAAAACCGGAAUUAAUACCGGAUAUGACUAUGGCUGACAUCAGCCACGGUGGUAAAGUUUUUCGGCUAGGGAUGAGCUCGCGGCCUAUCAGCUAGUUGGUGGGUAACGGCCUACCAAGGCGACGACGGGUA